ACAACUUAUAUUUGCAGAAAUACAAAAAUAUGUACAAGCAAAGAUCGCAAAAAAUAUCAAUGUUGCAAAAUGCAGAUCAGUUGAGCCGCUACAUUCGGGGUGUGUGUGUGUGUGUGUUUGUUUGUGUGUGUGUGUGUGUGUGUGUGUGUGUGUGUGUGUGUG